CCUUAGGUGGUGCAAAUGCUUAACACACUUGGCUGCUAACCAAAAGUUUGGCGGUUUGAGUCCGCUCAGAGGCA
rnacentral:tRNA from 1 species